rnacentral:rRNA from 1 species
UACGUAGGUGGCGAGCGUUGUCCGGAUUUACUGGGCGUAAAGAGCGCGCAGGCGGCUGGGCAAGUCCGAUGUGAAAGCUUCCGGCUUAACUGGAAAAUUGCAUCGGAAACUGCUCGGCUUGAAGGUGGGAGAGGGUAGCGGAAUUCCCGGUGUAGUGGUGAAAUGCGUAGAUAUCGGGAGGAACACCAGUGGCGAAGGCGGCUGCCUGGACCAGUCCUGACGCUGAGGCGCGAAAGCUAGGGGAGCAAACAGG